rnacentral:misc_RNA from 1 species
AACGAGGCCGACCUGCGGCUGAGUUACCUGCGGAAGGAUCAUUACCUAGAGUAUUGUAGGCUUUGUCCUGCUGUCUCUUACCCAUGUUUUUUGAGUACUUACGUUUCCUCGGCGGGUUCGCCCGCCGGCUGGACAAUUUAAACCCAUUGCAGUUGCAAUCAGCGUCUGAAAAACUUUAAUAGUUACAACUUUCAACAACGGAUCU